CUACAUUCUUCUUUAUAUAUACACAACAAGAAGAAAAACCCUAAAAGACCUCCAUAGCCGCCACCCCCAUUUUCAACCCUAAAACUCAUCGGAAAACACCCCAUCAACACCAGCCAACGACGAACCAGGACCCCCCUCGUCAUCACAGCACCAUAACCAGAGCAGCCACAGCUAGUCGGAAAUCUCCAACGCCAACAGACCCCUUCACUUCGAAACACCAACGAGAAGAAGCAGCGGUUCUCAUCUUCAACACCCAAAAAUGACCCCGAUCUCCAGCAGCGGGUAACUCCAAGGACGACCCCUGCUCCUUCAUCUCCUCUCAAAACCUCACUGUCACGACCAUCUCACCCUAACCUCACUGCCGCUGCUCAUCCUCACCAUAGCUGGCUGGAGUUCGACGCAUACAUACGCACAAUAUUAAAACAAAAAAAAAUAGAGGCAUGGAACGAGUAAACAAACGGAACGAUACAUGUUGCAUCUUUGAGGGUAAAAAGAUCAUUUGGCCCAAAAAGACAUCGAAGCAUCCAUAUGUGAUACAUGUUGCAUCUUUGAGGGUAAAAAGAUCAUUUGACAGAUCGAUGUUUAGAAAGAGGGUGAUAAAUGAAGCAAGCAGGGCUCAAUCACAUUUUUCUUUCAUAGUUUUCUAAAAAUGAAAAAGAAAAUCCAAAAAGAUUUUUGCACUCUCUCACUAUUUUACAAAAAUUCAAAAGAAAAUGAAAAAGAAAAUCCAAAAAGAUUUUACACAUUUUCAUUGUUUUCCAAAAAUUCAAAAAAAAUAACAAAGAAAAUCCAAAAAAAAAAAAAAUUCCAAAAAGAUUUUGCAUUUUUCCAUCAUUUUCCAAAAAUUCAAAAAAAGGAGAAAAAAAAUCCAAAAGAUUUUACAGUUUCCAUCAUUUCUCAAAAAGACGAAAAAUAUGAUUUUUUCAAAUUAGUUGCAUUUUUUAGAGGCUUUCUCCCUUUCCCAAUCUUCCUGAACUACGUGAACCUUAUUCUCGCCUUUCGGGGCGGGAUACGUAGGCAAUCCACGUAGGGUCCGAUCUUCCUAGUGUGUUAGGUUCUUGACUUUGCGGGGUCUUAGCUAAAUUUUGCAUGUCUAACCAAUGGUGGCCAUAUCAGUCAUUCUUGCAAAAUAGGGUUAUUUUUGCAAAAGUGGUUCAAUUCUUGAGUCCACAACUAGGUGUCAUUACAUUUACGUAUCCCUUUUGGAGUUUGCAUCUUUAGCCAUUUUGGCCACAUAGGUCAUUGCAAAAUGGGGCCAUAUUUGCAAAUUAAUUAAGGUCAUAGUUAUUGGGAGUUGAAUCCAUAUAAGCCUUAGUGAAGUAUUUCUAUGCCAUUUAGGUCAUCUUUGUUGAGUUUUUUCUAAUAGCCAAAUUUUAGCGACGUAUGUCAUUUUGCAAAAGUAGUCGUAAUCAUGCAUUGCAUGUGUCUAAUAGAAGGUGUCGUGGCGUCACAUGUGUCUUGAGUCACUAACUCUAUUUUAUCAUAUUUUUUCCAUUCAGGUAUGGAGCAAUUUGCUAGAGUUUGAGCACGAUAAAUACCCCAAGACCAUUCUAGUCAAGACCAUUGCAUGCACGAGCUGCUUGAGGA
rnacentral:lncRNA from 1 species